rnacentral:rRNA from 1 species
UUAAUUGAAGAGUUUGAUCAUGGCUCAGAUUGAACGCUGGCGGCAGGCCUAACACAUGCAAGUCGAGCGGCAGCACAGAGGAACUUGUUCCUUGGGUGGCGAGCGGCGGACGGGUGAGUAAUGCCUGGGAAAUUGCCCGGUAGAGGGGGAUAACCAUUGGAAACGAUGGCUAAUACCGCAUAACCUCGCAAGAGCAAAGCAGGGGACCUCCGGGCCUUGCGCUACCGGAUAUGCCCAGGUGGGAUUAGCUAGUUG